rnacentral:lncRNA from 1 species
CUUAGCACUCGAGUCUCGAAAGUAGCUUGAAAUUUACAAUUAAUGGAGUUUUAUGCUGAGGAAGGAAAGAGUUUGAGCUCAGAUAACUCCACGUUGAUUCUGGUAUGCUUCUAGGGUUUUGCUCUCAACUUCUUUAGUGAUUCUUCCACUAUUUUUUUUUUCCGGUUCUGUAAUAUUGUUAUUUGUUUUUGCUGUAGCCGGCGCUAUCGGUAGGAAAUGUAGGGCAACUAGCGGUGGAUCUUCUGGUAGCUUCUUUGAGAGUGGAGAGAAUUGGAUAUUUGGACGAUCCAAAUGUAGUUCCCUGCGUUGGGAAUGACGCCUAUUGGCCUUCUCCACCUGGUGAACUCGCUCUUCCCGUCGAAGGUAUAUAUUGAACAACUUAUUACUUAUUUUGGCUUGUGCAUUAUUAUAUUGAGGACAAUUGAAGAAAUAUUAAAGUAGUUUUAUUUAAGAGUUUGUUUCUAUAUAUGUUCAUUUGAAUUUGACUUUGAAUAGUUAGAUGAAUUUGAAAAAUUGAUUCAAUGUAUAGAAUAGUAUUGUUAUUGGAAUGAUGGCAACUGUUUUGGAACGUUACAAAAUGAAAAGAGUAUCAUUUAAAUUGAAAUGCGAGGAGUAUAAUUUUUGAGAUUUUAGGAAGGGAAAUGAUGUUUCUGAUUUUGGAUCAUGGCAGUAUAUGAAUCAUCUCCUGAUGCAUUGGCUCUGGUACAGCAGAGGUCUCCGGUUGUUAAGGUAAAUGUUAAUACUUUUUUUUGCAAUGGGUAUCGUUGCUGCUUGAUCUGGUCUUUUUCUCUCGUGCAAGCCAUCUAGGAGGGAAUAUAAUGCAAGAGCAUUUAACAUCUGUUUAUACCAUCAGGUAUUUAAAGCAACUAUUGGUAUCUGGUAAUAGUAAGUGUGAAUUAAUUGAUUGGGAAAAAUGGUAAGUAGACUACUACUCCUGGUUAAGCUACAGUGAUAAUGUGAAAAUUGUUUACAUGGACUGUCUGUAUAACUUAAAUCCAACUUUUUAUUGCAAUGUAUGCAAUCAAGGUUUUGUCUUUUAGGUGGUUGUUUAGUUUUAACAACUUACCCAACAGGGCAUGAUGGUUGAAUUUGCUAGGAACUUGGCGAAUUUUGCUGCUGCCAAUGGGAAGAAACAUGUAAUCGUGCUCUCAGGCUUGGAGUUUGGGCGUUGGCGAAACAUUGAUAUGUCAAGGUAUCAAUAUAUGAGCUUCACUUAAACAUAUUUUUUUCUGUUUUCUUUAUGUGGUUCAAUGAUAGAAACUCUGUGAUUCCACUUUCUACUUCAUCAUGUCCUCCCUCCAUUGAGGAAUUACUUUACAUGGAAACUUUAGUUGCUUUUUCUGAGAUCAUUAUCUCGUGAAUUGCUGACUGCUCCUGUUAUUAUGGGAGUUUUAGCUUUUUGCAUUCAAAUACUUAAAUGAAGGGGACUUAAUAUGUAUUAGUUAGGCUCAUGGCACGGGUUCAAACCCUGCCAUAGACAAAAGACUGGUGUUUAAGUGGAGAAAGAUAGAGGGGCAGACCCACUAUCCACCGAGUUUCGAAUGUGCGCCACUGGCCCUCGUGGUUUUCUCGGUUAUCAAAAAAAGUAAGGACUUAAUAAGUAAAGGUUGCUAAAUAAGAUGCUUCUUUGUUGGAAAUGUUGCUCGAUAUUAUGUGUACGUGAAAGGUUCCUCUAAUUUUGAGUCAAUUAGUGAAGGUGAAUAUUUCCAAACUGUUGCCUUUUUAAGCUAUUAAGUUUGCUGUUGCGUAUUCUACUGACUUGCGUUGAGUUCUUUUCUUUGAACAUUUUAUCUGAUUUCAUGGUGAAAUUGAUUUUAUGGCUAUCAUGUACGGUGUACCAGUGGAUUGCAGAUACAUUACCUUUCUAGUUCCAACUCAGAUGGAACAGACGAUCAGUGUGAAAGCCAGGGCUGGAAGAGAUUACCAGAGUACGAUCCUUCGCAGAGAAUGUGGAAGUAUUUAAAUGAUUUAGCCAAAAAUACUGCCUCUGAGGUGGAGGAUUUGCCUUAUGAAGAGCUAGGAGAUGAGGACUACGACGCCAGUUUGCCUUAUGCUGCAUUGUUCUCUUGUCUUAAGGUUGUGAUAUACUCGAUUCAGUUGUUCACUAUGGAUAACUUGAUGCACUAGUACAUUUCAUGAAAAAUUAAUUGUAUUUGUCAUAUGUGGCUUUCGUAUUUAUAGAAUCUGAUUUCUUUACUUUGUAGUUUCUUUCAAAAUGUCUUUGCUUAUGUUGCUAAAUCCUGCUGUCUUUUUGUUGCACCAUAAUACAUUCCACAUGAGCUUGAGAUUUCCAAGUAGUUAGGUUUCUUAUUUUGUUUUGGGAUUGUGUUCCUUCCCAGAUAGUUCAAUGCUGCAGAUCUGACAUGUAUUAUAGCAUGCUUAAAGUAAUUAUUUGUUCUCGCAUCUCAAAAAAGGUUUUUCAUUCUCUGAUGAAGUUAUAGUUGAUUUUUCCUUUUGCAUAGUUUUGAUGUGUCAUCUGAGUAUGGUGCAGGUUUCAGAUUGUAACUUCUCGUAAAACUAUUUCUCCAGCUAAAGUUAGCACAGCUUCUUUGGAGAUAUGUUUAAGAUGGAAUGAGUUCAAUGAAAAACUACUAUUAAGGUUUCCUUUGUAAUUUCUGCUAUCAGUAUCUCAAGACUAUUCUUGAUAUGAACUUAGAUAUGUAUCCACAUUUUUAUGUUAAGUAUACUUUUCUACCCUGAUUGAGUUUGUGUAAUAAUCUAUUUGUUUGUUGGUCUAGGCCAAAGGUCUGAAGGUCACUUGUCUACUGUGUUAUUGCUCGGAGGGAGACAACAUUCCUGAUGCUUUCAAUUUGGCUGAUGCAGUGUCAAAAGCUCUGGGGCUCCGACCUAAUAGUUCUCAAGGUGAGUUAUUGUUUCCUGGUAUGAUCAAUCAGCUUUCUUUCCUUGAUUUCUUGAUCUCUGUACAAUCAUACAAUGCUUGUUAUGAAAACUAAUGCUGCUAUAUCGCUUUAAGUACCUAAAUACGGUCAGGUAACUCUUAUCCUGUCAGCUAGUGGCUAAUAAUACUAAGUGCUAUCUGCUUGAUAAAUUUACUUGAGAAGUGAUUGAGCUAAUGAAGAUAAUUAGAUCAUCUUCAAUUGUUUUUUUGACUGUUUUGGAGGGGGAGGUAUUGGGAUUUCAUGCUUUUUGAGUAUUUUUAAAAUUAUCGCAAAAUGCAUAGAUAUGGACUAGGGUAACCUAGGGAUAUUACCUUUCUAGUACUUUUAAAAUUGCCAUAGGACGCAUAGAUGUGCACUAUCUUGUAACAUAAUUUUUGAGGCACUAACUGACCUCUUUUACUGGUGUCGUUCAGGUAAUGAAGGUGGAAGCUGGACUGUGCCGUUUUCGUGGAAGAGUGUGUAUGGUCCUCCACCAGAUAUGUCUCUUUUCUAGGCCACUUUGGAGCAAUUUUAUAUCGGUUGUUAUAUCUCUCUCGGACUUUUUGGCCAAGUGAAAUUUAUAUCUAUGGUUCACUUUGGCUGUACAAGUUUCUAGUUCGAAAGUGUUUGUCAUAACAAUUUUAAGGGAAAGAGUAGCUGUGUUAUUUAAACUCGUAAGCAUCUUUUCAGCUUAGUUAAUUCAUCAAAAGAUCGUUAAAAUAUUAGGUUGUAAUGGUGACAAAAAUAAGGUUCAGAUUCUCCAUAACCCCAACUUAAGGUGGAAAUGGAAAAAAUUAGAAAGUAUUGUUUUUGAAGUAAAAUCAUUUUCUUUGAAAAGGUUAAUUAGGCAAGGUACAUAAAUAAAGCUGCCUUUGAUAUGCAGAAAUUUUUUUGGCCUUGACGAGAUAAAAACUACUCGUACAAUGUCAGUCAAACCUUUAUAUAAUACCCGCAUUUGUUCCAAUAUUUUUUAGAUGCUAUAGUGAAAUGCUAUUAUAGAAGACAUAUAUUAUAACCUAACAUAAAAGAUCAAUUCCGAGAAAACUUGACUUUUAUAAUAAAUAGGGACGUUAUAAAGAGGUCUGAGUGUAACUAAAAAAAGAGACGAUUUUAGGUGAAGGCAAUUCUUUUUGCCUUGCGAAGAAAACAGAUGGUUGAGAAUUUGUCAUGCUUGAACUUUACCAUGGGACGUAACUGCAUAGUAUAUGGCAUAGCUUAAGAAUAUGAUAAUUUAUUGAUCUAACUUCUUUUUUUACUGGAGAUUGUGUUUAACUUACUUUUUAAAGACGAAUCACGUACAGUAACAUCUGGCGGAACAUGAAUUGGCUGAUAUUUGAAGUAUAAGUUGAAAAAAAAGUAUUUAAAAAUUUACACCAUGGAGGUAUGCGCUCUAUGCCUUAACCCUGGGCUAUUUACGAUAGAUCUGGAAGAUGUUUUCACACCUACAAAACUUACCUAAUUCCUAGAAACCAGACAUUGUUAGAAUAUGAGGCUCAUUAAACCUUUAGCGGCACAUUGUAAUUUACAGUACACCUCUUAUCUUAUGGGUAAUCGUACUUGUGAUUUUGCGUCAGCAUCACGUUGGAAUUUAUUGUACUUUUGGAGAGAUUUUAGUGAGAAGCAGACUUAUGUGUAACAUUAAGGAUUCACCGGACAUAGUAAAUUUUAAUUGGUGUAUGUGUGCAUACCUUGAAAAUGACUAUAUAAAUAACUUGGCAUCUUACACACUGAAAGCCGUUAUGGGGCAUUGGCUGAACAAACUAGUGGUGCCCGUCAUAUUAAAAUUCUGGGUCUGCCCUUGAUUUUAACAUUUUUAAUCGAUGAUAGGAGAAUAACGUGAUAAAAAAUGGGACCCACAAAAUAUGUAAGCAACAUGAGCUUGCAGGAGGGCCAAUCAAAUCAACCGAGAAAAUAAGCUGGGAUUUCUUUAUUUAGUUAGUUGAGAAGCCAGGAAAAGAAAAAAUGAUUAUUCAUUAAUUGGUGUGUGUUAUAAAUAAAAUUUUAUUUAUGGUGAAUGUCUAUAUUUAAACAGAUUUUAAAGUUCAUUACUUGGUGGCAAAAUCACCAUUUCCCUAUAAAUAGAGGGGUCCUAUAACAUUGUAAUUCAUCCCAAAUCAAUAAGAAUUCUCUCUCUCUACUUUUCUCUCUUCUUCUUUUAUUGUUCAUAACACGUUGUCAGCACGAGACUCUAACCAAUUGAGUAGAAGCUUUGGGAUUGAGCAUAAUGAUUGUGAUCAAUUGUUCCAUGAACUUACUUUAUGAUUAAAUUCUGGAUUUAAGGUAUGUAUUUUACCAUAUUUUUCUCUUUUAUUCUAUAAUUUGAUUUUAAAUACAAGCAAAGAUAAUAAAUUUUGAUUAUAACUCUAAUGGAGUUAGUAAGAAAUUAUAACCACCCAAAGUGGUAAAAUUUCUAUGUCUUGCCACGAUUAAAUUCAUGUAUGAUUGUGGGCAAAGAAUUGGAAACUCGUCCCAUUGAAUUUGAUUCAUUCUCAUUCCCUUAAGAGAAUGUGAUAGCAGUAUGUAAUAAGUCUGAAAGAAGACAAAAUUAUUACUAUGAAUGUAUCAAUGGAUGUGGACGUGACAAUAGACAAAAUUAUAAUCGUCAUCAUUGUGACAACGAGAACAAUAGGGAUUCUCAAAAUAAUCCUGCACUUUGUGAAAGUAAUAUUUGUCAUCAAUUUAACAUGAGAUUUUGUAAAGCACAUAUAGAUGAUUAUGGUCCAUUAAUGAUGUGAAUGUGACAAAAUGUGAUUUAUGAAUAUAUAUUCAUUCUUCAAAGAAUAUGAACGUGCUAGUGGUAGUGAAUAUACCAAAAUCACCUCUAGAAGGAGAUUUGAGAUGGAAAAAAUAAAUAAUGUCAUUAUUAUGGCAUGAAUUGUCGUUGGUCACGUACCUAUAUACGCCAAAAUAUUAUGGCAAUGUGAUUAUUAAAAGACAACGAUAAUGCAAGAAACAGAUCUUGCAUAUAAUUUGACCAUGACCAUAAUGGUAUAACUUUCUCUUUAAAAGAGAUAUUUAUCACAUGGAUGUUGAUGAAUAUGUGGUAGUACAAAAAAAAUUAAUUUAGAGCUAUGGAAGAGCCAAUUAUUACUAUUUUGGAGGAAUACAAUUGAUUAUCAUGUAAAUUUAUUGUGUCGUAGUAAGUCUAAAAGAAACUUAUUCAGUUUCUAAAGUAUUCGCGAAAGCGGUCGAUUAUAUUGAGACUAUAAAUAAAGGAAGGAUUUAAUAUUUCUAUUACUACAACUUGUAGCGGGUAAUAUUUAUGUGAAAAGUUACCCGCUUUAUUCUCCAAUUUCUACUAUACAAAUUAAAGAAUACCACAAUAAAGUGGAUGUUUAUUUAUAUAAAAACCCAUAUCAUAAUAAAUUUGGAGUUUAUUGAUAAUUGCACAUGUCAUGGUACAAACCUGAACUUUAUCAAUAUUGAUAAUUUAUUCAGUUGACAUAAUUGGUUUAGCCAUAUCAAUUCAAGUAUGAUAUGCAAAAUAAAAGAGAAUUCACAUGAGUAAAUAUUAAAGAACUAGAAAGUUCUUUAAGAAUUCUCUUAUGUUGCUUGUCCUCAUUAAUUAAUAGACCAACUAAAAUUGGGAUUGAAUCCCAUGAAUGCUGGAAAUAUCAAAGGUGAAUAUGGGCCCAUUCACCCGCCAUGUAUACCACAUAAGAUGCAUCUAUGAGAUGGUUACAUGUGCAAUUAUUAUUAACCCGCAACAUGGUAUUUUGCGAGGUAACUUGUUCAAUAAUUUAAUUUAGAGCAUAAUUUCCAUAGUUUCUAUUCAAGCUAAUUUAUCUUGAUAAGUUGGUUUACAUCACAACUGGUUUAGCAAGAUGAUUCAUUGAGUGCCUCCACUUAAUAACUAAAUUGUCAUGUCCCAAACUACCCUCUAGACGUGACUGACACCCAGCUAACACCACAUGCCGGACGAACCAUACUUUCUUACCUUAGCCAUUAAUUUACAGCAUUUGAUUAAUUAAAUGAGUAUCCAAAUAAUCUGAUUACUAUUAUGAAUAAUUAAUAUCUCAAAAUAUAAGAUUAACACUCUAACCCAAAUCCCAAAUAUAAGAUUAACACUCUAACCCAAAUCCCACACAAUACCAUGGAGUAUCUACGAGAAUUACAAAAGACCUUAUAUGAAUAAAUGAUAAAGACUCUUUGGGCAGCCUCCACGAACAAUGCGGCGGCUAACCUCAAUGACUGAAUCAACUCUAGCGAACUCGUCGGCUACAAGCUCCGUCUUCACUAAUAGUAUCUGCAUGGAUAUGCAAGUAAGGAGUGAGUUAUACAUAAAUAUAACCCAGUAAGAUCAUCGACCCGCCACUCUGAAUACCUCUGAAACAAGUGUUAGAAAUACAAACACACAAAGAGCAUAGAGAUAAUAUGCACAUAAAUUCUUUCACCAUAUAAUUACUCUGUAAGGUCCAAACAAUUAUUCAACAACAACACUAUUUAUAUCUCAACACAAUCUACAUUAAGAACUUAUCAUUAACGGCAGUGCAGGAAAUUAACCAAACACCCCGACGAGUCCACAACAGCAUACACAAUGCCCCAAAUUUAUAACGGCGGCAUACACAAUGCCCCAAAUUUUAUAACGGCGGCAUACACAAUGCCCCAAAUUUUAUAUCGGCGGCAUACACAAUGCCCCAAAUUUAUAACAGCUGCAUACACAAUGCCCCAAAAUAUGUUACGGCAGCAAAGGAAUAAAUUAUAACGCCCCAAUGACAUUGCACGAGGCUACGCCACACCACAUCACAUCACAAAUCAUUCAUUAAAUAAUUUUAGCUUUUUACAAAAUACUAUAUAUAUUUGCGGCUGGUCAUCGACCACCGAUUCUGUCAAGCGCACGCUUGUCCCAAAACAUGGACCAGGCAAAAAAAAUAUAUAUACUUUCAAAAGGGGUUUUGGAAAAGCAAACAUCCAAAGCUUAAAGUCUCACUUACCUCGCUAAUGGGAACUUGCCCAACCUUGUGACGUCUAUAACACCAACCGAACGGACUUCAAUGGCCUCAAUCUAUCAAAAAUAUUGAAUAACAAUAUCAAUGAUUCUGGUAGAGGUAAAUCUCAAUAUUCCUAACUUUCAAACCUAGAGCUAUAUUUUAAUAUCCUACAUAUUAAAUAUUAUUUUUUUUAAAAGAUAAGGACAUAUCCCAAUAUCUCAAUCUAAACUCAAUAUUUAAUAUCCAAGUCCAAUAUAUGAAAAUUCGAGUCCCAAAAUAAUAUUCAUAAAGAAAAAUAUGUAUUUGCACUUGAAACCGAAGCCACAAUUUUAUACGUAAUUCUACAGAUUCGAACUGGCUAAUCAUGUUACUGAAUAGUCAUGUUGAAACCCAUUUUUAUAUCCAUCAUGUACACAAUACACUUAAUUGUCAUCACAAUUCCUCUCAUCAUUACCUAAUGAUUGAUUAAUCAUUGUAUCCCUAAAUUCAUUGAGGCAGAAAUCGAUAUAUCAGUGAAAUAGUUUAAUUUUCAUAGUAUAUGCUAAAAAAUACUUUCCCCUCCCCUCAAUCAUUAAUUAGUUAUUAGGUAUAAUCCAUAAUCUCUUUAUAAUCCAAAGCCAUGUACAUAGGUAAAGUUUGGAUAUAUCUACAUACCUUGUAACUUGAGUUUUCCUCUGUAAUUUUCCUCUGCAUUGAAGAUAAUCAAGCAAGCCUUGUAUGGUCUCCUGACUGAUACAGUGUGGGUUACUAUAUUUUUAUCAGGGAAUUAAGCCAUAAAAUCAUAUAGUCCAAAGAAAAAUUGACACCUGAUGACAAUACAUAAGGGGAAUUGGCAAAUUUUUAGCCUUAUAUUAGAUUUUGGCAAAAGUAGCCCCAAAUAAUUAGCAUUUUAUAGCCAAAUCCUAAAAACUACCUUAUUUUAUUAUUUAUUCUCCUAACCGUUUGCUGCUCUCCCUCUUAUUGUUCGCUGGUUCCCCUCCCCCUUCUUGUUCGCUGCCUCCCCCAUUCCCUCCCUGCCUCCCUAUUCCAAAUAAGAUUAAAAUGGUGGAUUAACUCUACCAUUGGUUUACNNNNNNNNNNNNNNNNNNNNNNNNNCGUUACGUGUGCCAAAUGCUAAAAGAUAGACUAUUUUCUGCCAAUUAUUGGACUAAAUUAUGCAAUGCCAAAUCCUCUAGUCCAAACACGUAUAACAUCACGAGAUUUGGGCUUUAGGCCCACUUCUUUCAUCUCUAUACCUAUCCAAAAUUACUACAUCUCUUAUUAGUAUGUGAAUUAUAAAUUAGGUCCACUAACAAUUUAUUUCGCAUAGUAAUUUAUAAAUCAUAACAUAUGUAUUUCUUUCACUAGCUUAAUAUUUGACCCAAUAGCUAUAAAAAGAAAUUAAUUUCUCUAGUCUCACAAUUUAUAGGUAUAUAAAAACUCAAGUUAUUACAUAAACUAUUGCUUAUGAGAAGAAAGUUAUAUAUAUCUGUUUGAUAUACGUUAUAAACAAAAGUAUAUUAUUUUCUCCCCUCGCAAGUGGUUCAGGGUCAGGAACCAAAUACUUCCAUCUUAUUAUUAUUGAUGUGCGGUGUAUAUUUUGAUUGAUACCAUAAAUGCACAAAGAUGAGUUUUCAAAGUUGAGGAAACAAGUUAGUUUUUCUAACAUGAGGGGGAGACACGAUAAACAAUUGAGAAAAAAUUACGUGGAUUGAAUUAUCAUGUGUAAAUCUAGAUCCUCGAAUAAAAUAAUAUGAACUUGAAGUUCAAAAAAAAAUCAUCUGCAGUAUAUUGCAAAGCAUGCAGACACAUUUGCUGACCCAAACAAAGUAAUUAUAUUCUCAAUGCAAAUGCUCCUAUUAGAAUAAGUCUUAGAAGGACAAAGUUUAUGGUACGUUUAAAGCAUAUGGACAAAUCGGUUUCAAAUAAACUUCUUGAUAAAGAAGACGAGCAAAUGAUCAUAAUAAAGUAGGCAAGUGAUCUAGAAGAUCACAUGACAUAACACUUCCUAAAAUCUCAGGAGAGAUUCACGUACUUGAAAAUAUGAAUGAAGAGAUCUUUAUGUUAUGUUUUUACUAAAAAAUAUUUGAACCGAUAUAAAAUAUUUGUCGGCGACAUAUAUCAUAGCGCUAAGUAUAGAUGAGGAUCUUAAAAAUAUUAGCCAAAAUGGAAGGGAAACAAUUCAAGUAGAAUUGGUUUCAUAUGAAAGAGAUGUUGUUUUGGACACGUUCAAACACUUGAAAGUAUAAAGUCAAUGAUAUGUGCAAUCACUUUUCGAUAUUUUAUUUGUCUAGCAUGACAUGAGAACUUGAUAUGCAUCUAAUUAAAGUCUAUCAUAUGACUUAUAUGACUUAACUUAUAUGGCAAUCCCUGAAGGAUUUAAAUUGCUUGAAGCAUAUACAGUUCUUGAUCUUGAAAUACCACUUCCUCAGGGCAAUUUGUGCACAAAUGUAUCUUGCUAUAACUAUAAGUAUGAUAAUUUGAUAGCAAGAGUUUUCACCUAUAUGUGAAGAUAUUGAAAUGACGAUUCCAAUAAGAUCAUAUGAAGACAAUACAUUUAUUAGGGAUAUGAUUUCAAGGUGAAACAAAUUCGUUCAAGUUAAUAUGGCUAAUUUGUUUGUCGAAUCUCUACCAACGAUCUUUUGAAGAUGGUGCACAAGAUUGGAAUGCAAAGACUUAAAGAUGUAAAUUGAUGCUCUCAUCAGGGGGAGCUAAUGCGCGUUGCACUCUUUUUCCCUUACAAGGUUUUGUCCCACUGGAUUUUCCUUGCAAGAUUUUUAACGAGGCAAUCAGAAGGCGUAUUGUUAGAUAUGUGUACUCUUUUUUCUUCUCUAGAAUUUUUUCCCACUGAGUUUUAUUUUAGUUAAGGUUUUAACGAGACACAUUAUCUGUUGAAUAGACAUUCAAGGGGGAGUGUUAUAAAUAGAAUUUUAUUUAUAGUGAAUGUUUAUAUUUAGAGAGAUUUUAGGGUUCAUUACUUGGUGACAAAGUCACCCUUUCUCUAUAAAUAGAGGGAUCCUAUAACAUUAUAAUUCAUCUACUUUUCUCUCUAAUACUCUUCUUAUUUUAUUGUUCAUAACAGUGUGAGAAAUUUACUUUCUGUGUGGCACAAGCAAUACUAAUUGUGUGAAGGUGUUCUCUUCUUGACAAGUGUAACUAGCGGGCGCGAAAUUUUCAUAAUCACCUCCUGUGUUCAUGCAUUUUCUAUUCGGUCCUUAAUAUAAUUUAUGUGUCUUAUUUUUCUUUUUAAUAUGCUAAAAUAGAUUUCAACUAACUAUAUUUAAGUCGAUAAAUUUCGACGAAUUCCAUCUCUCACACAAAGGUGACUCGCGCUCAUCCUAUCAUAAUCUAUCCACAAUACUAGAAUAAUAGAGGGAGAGAGAGAGUUGUUUUGAUGAAUAAUUCAUUGGUUCUGUAUAUAUUAUCCGUCAAAUUAAAAGUUUGUAUCUUGGCACCAGGAUAAUUAAGAAAAUAUCAAAGCAGCAGUCUUCCGCGACACCUUUAAUAUUAAAAUGAGGUGAAAACGAAUAUAUUAGAAAAAAAUUACUCAAUCAUAAUCCAUUGGAACUGAUACACAGCUCAAGGACAUACGUUAACAUAUUUUCUUCUUCUCUACUAUGACAUCUACUACUUGUUGAAGUUUCGUUUCCCUACUUUCAAAGCACAAUAAUAGAUUAAUUCUAUAAAAAAAAAAAAACAUGAUAAAAAAUGUUAAAGGGCUUAGAGUUAGGUACCUUGCAACUUGACUCAAAAAGAUUAACACGAAAAAUGUAGAAAUUUACUCCUAAACUAUGCGAAAUAGUAUUUGAUCUCAUGGUUGAAAACGAAAUUAUUAAGAGAAUUUUUUUUUUUACGACAAAUAUCCAUUUGAGUUGAUCCAAAGCUAAAGGACAGUUAAUCAUGAUUCAAGUAUUGUUUUUUUCUCUAUCAUAAAAAUUGAUCUGAAAUAGAUAUUGCACUUUAAUUUGUCUUCGUGAGACUUUCUUGGAAUUUUCUACAUAUUGGCUAUUGAAGCUCCAUUUGCUAAUUCCAUAGCACAAUAAUAUACUCCCAUUCCUUUUUACUGAUCUCUUAUACUAAAAAUGAUUUUUAUUUAUUUAUUCAUUUUAACAAAUUAAAAGAAAAUUAUUAUUUUCUUUCAAUAUUACCCUUAGUAUUAAGCAUUCAACUCCUUAAAUUUAUUGGAGUUACAACUUAAUAAUCAUUAACAAAAGUAACUUAAUAAAAUAAACCCUUAAUAAAUAAUUUCUUAAGGGCGUGUUUAGUCAAUAGAUGACUAGUAAAACGAAACGGAGGAACAACAAUAAUAACAAACCUAGUAAUUUUUCACAAGUGGGUUCUAAGGAGGGUAAGAUAUGUACCCUGAAAGGGUAGAGAAGCUGUUUUCGAUAGAAAACGGAGGAAGUAAUACUUAAUUUUAAAUAGAAUUUGAAAAAAAAAAUGCUGAAAGACUUAACGUCUAUUCAAGGUUAGGCGCUUUACAACUAGUCUAAAGAUCAUAUAAUAAUCAAGCAACUUAACCUAAAACUGCAGCCCCAGGUGGCUGGCUACGUAGUACAAAAGUACUAUUUGGUUUUGUUCUAGUUGCUCUGAUGUAUGAAUAAUCAAACUUCUCAAUUCAAAUUACUUGAAUAACUCAACGUUCUUUAGCCGCCUGUAAAUUGCUGUUGUACUAUGUAGACUAAAACCUUUGACAUUAUUUCUAACGUAGUUCUUAUAAAUACAUCUGUUGGCAUCUUCUUCAACUCACUAAACCAAUAUACACAAAACAGAAACACCAAAAACUACAAAAGAUAAAGAAAAUGUCUUCCUUUUUAGUAUCAUCAAAUAAUCUUCCAGAACGUGAAAUCCCAGGUGACUAUGGUUUCCCUAUUAUCAGCGCCAUUAAAGAUCGAUACGAUUACUUUUACAAACAAGGUGAAGAUGUUUGGUUUCAUAGCAAAGCUGAAAAAUACAAUUCCACCGUUGUCAAAAUCAACAUGGCACCAGGCCCAUUCACCUCUAAUGACUACAAAUUGGUGGCAUUUCUAGAUGCCAACAGCUUUGUCUAUAUGUUUGAUAACUCUCUCAUUGACAAAACUGACACUCUUGGUGGUACAUUCAAGCCUGGUAAAGAGUACUACGGUGGUUAUCGUCCUGUUGCUUUUGUCGAUACUUCUGACCCUAACCACGCUGCUCUGAAAAACUAUAUUCUUACUUCAUUCGCUAAGCGACAUAACUUAUUCAUUCCUCUAUUUAGAAACUCAGUGUCUGAUCACCUCUUUCAAAAUCUUGAAAAACAGGUUUCUGAUCAGGGGAAGUCAGAUUUCAAUGCACUUCUCCCGAAUAUGACGUUUGGUUUCAUUUUUCGCUUGCUUUGUGACCAAACUAAUCCAUCUGAUACAGUUCUUGGCGCUCAAGGACCAGAACAUCUUCGCAAAUGGCUUUUUCCUCAGCUUAUUCCAUCAUUGAGUGCGAGAAAACUUCCUAGCUUUAUAGAAGAUUUGCUCUUCCAUAAUUUCCUGAUACCAUUUGGUCUCGUGAAAAGUGAUUACAAUAAGCUUGUUGAUGCAUUUAGCAAGAAUGCAGGGUCCAUGUUAGAUGAAGCUGAGAAACUUGGGAUCAAAAGAGAGGAAGCUGUACAUAACAUACUUUUCCUCGUAGGAAUUAAUAUGUUUGCCGGCUUGAAUGCUUUCUUCCCUCAUCUCAUCAGGUCGGUGUUGGAAUUUGGACUUUAGUUAAUUAGUUACAUCCUGAACUAGAUAGUAGCAUGACACAAGUUAUACAUAAAAGAUAAGGCUCGAUCCUAAUUUGAUUAUAUGCCGGAGGAAUGGAGAUAUAUAUCCCUUCCCUAGGUAACAACAAUAACACUAGUGUAUUAUAAUCAUUGAUUACAUACAUGGAAAAUACGAUCCAAGUUAUAAAUAAAAUAUAAGUUAUAAUCCUAAUUUAAUGAUAUAGGAGACUAUUUAACAUGUUACUUUACUUACACAUUAACUAUUAGGACAGGUAACUUUCUUUAUUAAUAGAGACCAAAUAUCUUCCCUAGUUAACACAAGAAUUACCGUCGUGUAAAUGUUCCUUGAAAACAUGGUAACUAACGAAGUUGAUCACAGGCUUAACCACCGGCCGCUAGCUACUACUCAAUCAUGGAGUCCUAUAUAAAUUUCUCAUAUGAACACUUUCUUUCCUCAUCUGAUCAGGUUUGUGGGCGAAGCGGGGCCUACUCUACACGCUCGACUUGCUAAAGAAAUCAGGACAGCUAUAAAGGAAGAAGGAGGGGCAGUCACAUUAUCAGCAAUCAACAAGAUGAGUUUGGUCGAGUCCAUAGUCUAUGAAACGUUGAGGCUACGUCCACCAGUGCCACUACAGUACGGUAAGGCCAAAAAAGAUUUCAUGGUCCAGAGCCAUGAUGCAUCUUACAUGAUCAAGAAAGGUCAGUUCCUCGUCGGAUAUCAGCCCAUGGCUAGUAGGGAUCCCAAGAUUUUCGACAAGCCCGACGAUUUUAUCCCUGAUAGGUUCAUGGGAGAAGGAGUGAAAAUGCUCAAACAUGUUCUUUGGUCUAAUGGAAGGGAAACAGAGAAUCCAGCACCAGAUAAUAAGCAAUGUGCAGGAAAAGACUUGGUGCAUUUGUUGGGCAGGCUAAUGUUGGUGGAGUUUUUCUUGAGAUAUGACACUUUCACCGUGGAAAUCACUCCUCUCUUUCGCGCACCAAAUGUUGCAAUCAAGACAUUAACUAAAGCAACUUGAUUUUCUGAUGUAUUGGAUGCUUAAUCAAGUCAUCAAGUGUGUGUGCGCGCAUGGGUGUUCUUGCAUAAUUAUUGAAUUUUUAAUUUGUAUUGUAUUUAUUAAUUUGGUUGUUGUUGUAUUUGCUAUUUUUUAUUGAAAUGAAUAAACUAGAAGAAUUACACAUUGUAUAUACUUGUCCACUAUGAAAGAUUGUUAGUUGUUAGCUGACUUGUUAAGACGAGCAUCAAAAUGUUUUUACUUUUCAUUACGCUUAGUACAGAGACCAUUUGCUUUCUAUAUUCUGCAAAAAAAAAAAAAAAAAAAAAACUGUUUUUGCUCAUUUGCUUGUAAUCUCAAGCUAGUGAUUGUGUCCUACACGGUACUGCCCAACCCAACUCAAAUAAAGAAAGAACAUUAUUUCCUCCGGUCACCAAUAAGUGAUUUUUGUGGUCCAAAAUAUCUGAUUUUUUUAGAUUUCAAAAAUAAAUUAAUUAUUUUUUUCCCUACAUUGUCCUUGGACUAAAUAGUGUCGGAGUACGUGUUAGAAGUAUUUAGGUGAAGAGAUAGUAAAGGUUAAUAUCGUCAAUUCAUUACUAAUUAAUGUUGAAAAGUAAAUUUCUUAAUUUGUGUUAAAACAACCAAAAAAUCACUUAUUGUGAAUCGGAGGGAGUAUCAAUUAGCGACUGGUACAUUAGCCAACAUUAGAGACUUUUAUCCUGUGGGUACAAUCUAUAGACCCACUCUACUAUUACGAAGUGACAACUGUGUGUCACACCCCUUUUUUACAAUCUCACAAACCCUCUUAAAAUAAUAAAAGGAUUAGUAAAGCUCAAAUAAGGGUUUUCAAUUAGAAAGUGACAAAAUUGUAUUCAAAAGAAAAUAACUCAUAGUCGCCACCUGACUUUAAUUUUGGUGUGUCAGGUCACCGUUUUAAAAAAAAAAAAAUCCUUUUAAAAUAUUUUAGACUCUAAAACUAAGUCCGCACUAGAGAUUCGGGAAAGGGAGUUCAUUUGACUCAGGGAGAAGGUGUUAGGCACUCCCCAAGUCUCGUAACUAGUACGGUUGCAUACUUGAUCUAGUCGACUUUUAAAAUAUUCAAGUUGAGGUAAAAUCACGAAAAAGCAAAAUAAACACAUAUGAGGCUCGAGGUCGUCCCCACCUAAUAAGAAGAGAAAUGAAAAUAAAAAAUAAAAUAAAGAUAAAAAUACUACGAGUUCUACUAUCGAUCUCCAAGUACAAAUACUUCGGGGCAUACCCCAGAAUAAAAUAUAUACAAAUCCUUCGGGGCAUUCCCCGGAUAAAUUUAAUUAAGAGAACGACCUCUCGCCUUGAGACCAACAAAAUCCUAAGGCUUGCCUACCCAAAUGUGAUCGGCCUAAAACAUGCUCCUAACGCUCGAAACAAUAGGAUAAUAAAAUAAUAUAAAAGAAAGCUAAGCGAGGAUGAAUUAACAACAUGCUUAUUUUUCCUUUUAAAUUUCUUAGUUUACCUCAUUACCACACGACCCCCAUAAAAUAGUGAUCCAAAAUAACUAAUUCAAAUUAUCUACACACGAGGAUAACACCCAACAUAGAAAAUACAUGAAAGAAAAGGCAAAUGUAACAAUUUAAAGAUACAGUAAACAAAAUAAAUCACGAAGUGACAGACCAAAGUAUGAUAAGAGUCAUCUAAAGUCUAUCUAACCAUCCCCAUUAAACUUAUUCCUACUCCCCUAGCAGUGAAAUAUUGAAACUUACUUUGAAUUCAAUUAAGAAAAUAGCAAUGAACUGAAUCCAAGAGAAAUCAAUACUGAUAAGCCAUGAAGUCAUCAACCCAAUUAACAAAACUCAACUUGCAUGUGGUAUUCUAGAAGUGAACAGGAAUCCCAAAACAUUUUUCCUAUUAGACUUAAUCAAUGUGUUUUACUAUCACAAGCUGAUUUUGAGAAAUGAGGCAAUACCACAGCGUGAAAUACAUGCCUCCAAAGUUUUUUUUUUUUUUUUUUUAGUAAUUCAUUAUCAUAUUCCACCCAAUAAUAAAUCAAUCAUGCUUCAAAACAACUUAGUCACAAGCAAAAAUGGUAACAAAUCAUCUUUUAAAUGAGUGUUUACCAUUAUUUUACUCGAGAAAUCAAAAGACUAUGAAAACUCCACAGAUUUCAACAUAGACGUAAGAUAGCUUCAAACAAUGGCCUUAAGCCUACUUCAAGGAUAUGGAUUGAUCAGGCCAUACAAAAACAUUAAGUUACGGCAAGCAUGACUUGAAAUGCUUGCCUUUGCUCAAUUUUAACAAAAGAUAAUCAAAAGACUAAUGGAGAAUCUCAAGCCAAACAUAUCAUUGACUCGAACUCACUUGGCACUGAGACGUUGUCGUUGUUUCAACACCCAAAGAACCUCAUCCAAUUCGAUUUAGUCAAGAAAUUGCAGCACAAUUUAGAAAGAUUAAGUCACACCAAUAGUGAAAACAAUUUCGAAGAAAUUCCAGCACCCAUUUCAUGUUUAAACUGACAGAAAUAAAAUUAGCUAAGGCGCCACGAAUUAGCUUUCGAUGUUCAGUAAUCAAAAUAGAGCUUCAUGUGAAUCAAUAUGAUGCUAUCAACAGGCACAAAAGGACAGGAUGAAAACCUUAACAACGAGGCAGUAUGUUCUCGAUUUCAUAUAAACUUAAGGAAUGCAGAAAUUUUCACAAAAGCAUAAAGAAUCGACUACAGUGAGUUAACAUGGCAUGGUCGCCUAUCAAAGAAAGUCAGCCAAACUAAUUCUAACAAUAAUGAGACAUGCCUAAUCGAUUAAAACUAUCAUGCAAUCGGAUCAAACUUCAAUUAAAUUUGUUGGAGCCAGGCAGAACCAAAAUCAGAAAGCAUUCAAAUACCAAUAGUAAAUAGAACACAUGUAGCAGGAGACGAUUCAUACGAAUGCAGUACUAUUUGAAACCAUGUCUACCAGCAUUCAGAUUCCAUUGUUCCUCUUUAAAACAUGUUAACUAAACUCAGAGUUCUAAACCCAACUUUUGACCCUUAAAGCUUUUAUCAUACUUUGAAUCAAUACCAAAACAAAGUAAGAGAAUCAAAAACGAACCUGAACUGCGAAAACUUAGAUUAAUUCUACUUUGAACCAAAUACAAGUGAAUCCGGCAAUGAAAAUUCAAAGAAGACAGCAGCUACAGUGCGUCAGGAUGCAAAAACCACAAACUCAGACUCGAACGACCAACUAGAUCUCGGCACCGGAAUUUCGAAUCCAAACUCAAACUUCAAUCAAAUUCUGUCUUUGAAAAUAAAAAUUGAAAUUGGAAAGAAGAAGAAGCAUAUAUUUUUUUUGUAUUUUUCUGAGAUUCAAACUAAACAAAAAUCUGAAAAAAAUGAAAUCCGAAGAUCAAAAGGACUAAACAAAAUUUGUUUUCAUUUUGUAUUUUUCUGGUUGUUCCCAAGAAGACCAAAAAUCAGAGAAAAUUGAUGAUUUUUCCCAAACCCUAAUUUCUUGUCCCUGCUCCCCUUUCUGUCCGAAAAUCCUCAAAAUAUAUAGCUCACUCUCGAAUCUUCUUCUUCUUCACCAAGAAAACUCGUGGGACCAUAAAAUAAAAUCUGAAAUCCUCUUUCACAAACAAAAAUCGGAAAAAUAAAAACUUUGGACAAAAAAUUUCAUCCAACGGUUCCCAUUCUUCCAAGAUUUAUUCAAGGGUCCAGAUUUUUGUUUAAACAAAGAAAAAUAAAGGAAGAAAACGCAUGAAUCGAAUUGAAAUGAUGAGAUUUGUAAGAUUUGAGUGACGUGGAAGAAGGAGAGGAGAGGAGAGGAGGGGGGACCAUGUGAUGAUUUGGGGGAGAUUUCCGAUGGUUUGGGCGUGGUGGGUCGCGGCAGAAGCGAGGCAAGGGUAGGGCGUCGUUUGGUGAGAGCUUCUUUAAGGUUAGGGUUAUGAAUAUUAGGGUUUUAUAUGGGUAGGGAAAAAGAUGUGGGU